rnacentral:rRNA from 1 species
GAACCGUCCAAACGUUAUUCGGAAUCACUGGGCUUAAAGGGUGCGUAGGCGGCCCUGCAAGUUGGGUGUGAAAUCCCACGGCUCAACCGUGGAAUUGCGCUCAAAACUGCAGGGCUAGAGGGAGAUAGAGGUGAGCGGAACUAAUGGUGGAGCGGUGAAAUGCGUUGAUAUCAUUAGGAACACCGGUGGCGAAAGCGGCUCACUGGAUCUCUUCUGACGCUGAGGCACGAAAGCUAGGGGUAGCGAACGGGAUUAGAUACCCCGGUAGUCCUAGCUGUAAACGAUGAGCACUGGGUUGGAGGCUCCUCCAUAGGCUUCCGGCCGAAGCGAAAGUGUUAAGUGCUCCGCCUGGGAGUAUGGUCGCAAGGCUG